GUGCUCGCUUUGGCAGCACAUAUUCUAAAAUUGGAACUAUACAGAGAAGAUUAGCAUGGCCCUGUGCUAGGAUGACACGCAAAUUCGUGAAGUGUUCCAUAUUCAA